rnacentral:lncRNA from 1 species
CGCUUACUAAUACUAGGAGUUUUAGUUGAAAUGCUCGAAAAUGCAUCUUAGCAUGUGUGUGAGGCUGUUGUCACACGUGUACUUAUAAGCUUACAGCUUACAUUAGCGUGCUGGUGUGUUAGAGUAAAACAUGAAUGCGAUCGAGUGUUCGUAUGUAACUGUGUAUUGUAUGUGAGAUUGAUACAGAGAAGAACUGAAGGCCUUCAAGUAGAUGAGUUUAUGUGUUUAUCCAGAGAACAAGUCUAUAGCAUGGUCAACUUUUGCGAGUAGAUUCCAGGCAGGUGUCAAAAAACAACUAUGCACUAAAAUUUAAAAGGACUCCCCUGCUAUAUAGGUAAGCCCUCCGUCUAUAAUUAGCGCGUUUUAAGAAUAAGCUUUUGUCUCUUUUAUGCUUCCGGACAUUGCCGUGAAAGACAGCUGAAAGUAUCUCUUCUCACCCCCACCUUCUUUUUAAUAGGUCUCUGGCUAGUAAACACUUCACCCUAGACCUUAAUUGGGGGGAUUGUUACUUCCCCAUUAAGGUAAAUAAAUAAUAGUAUACUUAGUUCACGUGAUCACUAAAAGGAGAUACUGACAUCUAUCACUGUACAAAGGUACUUAAGACUGGCAGCCCUCUCUACCUGCUGUCCUUUGAUUUGGGUUGGUGGGAAGAGAGGGGUACUGAUAUCUCUUCCGUCGUGUACCCUCCCAAAGGCUAUCUCCUCCGUUUCUUCAACAUUCAGCUUUAGAAAGCUGCGAUCAAACCAGUCCUCCAGUUCCCCCACGCAGGCCACGUACUGUGACAGGGACUACUUGUCUUUGAGGCAGGUCACAAGGGCCAUGUCAUCUGCAUACUUUACAAGUUCUAUAAUAGGAUUGGUAAUGGCAAAGAGUGCGUGAACACACUUUACUCAUUGUUUCUUUUGUCCUCUGCUCAUCACGGUAUUCACGCCCCUUCAUGCUUCCUUAACGUUUCCCUCGCUAAGUGACUUUUCUACUUUCUGUCUGCAUUCCAUCCUAGAUGUUUUUGCCUUUUCCUUGAACUCCUCUUUUUCAAUUUCUGUCUCCCUGCAUAAAAGUUACCUUCUUUUCACCGAGACAGUGUUUCAGCUCUUUACGCAGCCAUGGUUUGUUAUUGGGAUAGCUGUAGGUCUUCUUGGCAGCGAUAAAAUACUCUUCACAGAAGUAGAUGUAAGAGGUGACUGUGUCUGCCAGACAGUCAGUUAUUAAAGAACUCCUCCCAGUCGGGGGCCUCGAGGCAGCCUCUAACAAUUGUUGAAAACGAUGUGAUGAACUGCUUAAUUAACAACUCAACCAGGUGGAGGUUAUAUUGCUUGUACUAUAUACAAUUAGACAUGAACACUUUUGUUCCGUUUCAAGAUAUGGGAAGUCAAACAACCUCCAACACUAAUUUAAAAAAAAAAACUUACUUGAUCUCUCCUUACACCUUAACGGUAAAAAAACAACUGUAUGAUCUCAUUUCCUGCUACACAUUCACAUUUAACCGUACACAAACACACACACACACCCCAAUCAAAAAUCCGUACCAUUCAUUGUGUUCAUAUUAUAGAAACUUACUUUUUUACUUUUAUGGUUGCGAUAACUUCUAUGAAGUUAUCUCAAUCUCCCGAGCUACCACCUCACCAGGCGCUAUGCGAGGAACCCCCUUCUGGUGCGGGGCCCUGGAGGCUUCCCCCCUUCUCCAAAAGCGUGGAGGUUCCAACGGGUCACUUGGCGGGUGUGACAACGAAAAACGGCGUCGGCUAAACAUUUUUCCUGACAUUUCGGAAUGGGAGGGAUGAGAUUUUCUACUCACUAUUUUCUUGACUGACCCCUUCGGAAGGGACAUCAACAGAGGUACCUUCUCAGCGUUGUUGAUGGCUGGUGAGCGCUGAAGAAAAUGUGUAUUUCUGGAGAAUGAAGGUAAGCAUUGGCGAAAAGCUUUUCUUUCUUGCGUUUAGCCAGUAACUGAUUGAUUAAAGCCUGUUAGUCGUCAAAGGACCCCAGGGCAACAUGUUCACCCUUCUUUAUGGAUCACCUGCAUUCAAGAUUCAGGCACAAGGACUUAACAGCAAAAGUAACACUGAUGUGGAGAAGAAACAUCGGUAAGGAUUUUCUUCAUAAAUUAGUUAAUUUUUGACACUACUCUAAAAGUGAAGAUAGUUUUGAAUCUUUAAGGAUUUCUAGAAUAUAAACAAUACGCCUAGUUUCAUUUUCACUUACAUUUUUUCAGAUUUUCUUUUCAUAAAGUGUUGUUAGAAACCACACACAACAACGUAUCCCCAUUCAUACCACAGAAAGGAAUCAGCGGUAUAUACAGGUGGGGGUGGGGGUGGGGUUAUAUACUCUGUACAGCUUCUAGCAUUAAGAGUAACCAAAGAUUAAUCAGUGGUCAGCAGAAUAUUUUGUUCUGCCCUACAUCCUUAACUCUUUAGUUCUUUAAAUAAGUGUUCAAUAAAGAACUAUGUGUCAAUAUUCGAUUAUUGAAUUUGUUGAAAACCAGCUUCAUUAAACGUGAUGCGCACAGCAAUAUUAUACACUAUUGCAUAUGUAGAACAAUUGCACAGAACAUACACAACUGUAGCCUAAAACUCCUUACAUAAUCACAACGCACUCUUGGGAACCCAGAUAAACAUAGUCAACCCUAGUCGUACUAAACCGUGAUUUGGACUUGGCAUUGUAGCGGUAAGUACCCUUAUUUACAUGUCAUAACCAGUUACUUUGCAGAUGCCAUCAGUCUCCUGUUUCAUCGGCAGUAACAUGCACAAACCAAACUGAGUAAGGCAGCAGAGGAAUCGGAGAAGACUGUCAUAAAGAUCAACAGAAAGAAGACCAAACUUUUGAGAAUCAACUUCAAGCAGGAACUCCCAAUCCAACUUCAAAGAGAGAGCAUCCUGGAAACAUGCCGCUUCACGUAUCUCAGGAGCAUUGCCAAUAAGGACGGUGGAGCGGACGAUGACAUCAAAAGCCGCAUUAACAAAAGCCAGGUGUUCAUUGUUAAUCAAAGAUCGGGAGCAAUGGUUUGAUUGGAUAAUAUCCUAUCUGCUGCUUAUACUCCUUUCUUCCCAGCAAUAAUGUCAAUGAUGAGGUCAUACAUACUGUGGAGGAGUUGUUGAUGGUCCAGGACGCCAGAGAUGGGAUUGCAGUGCUUGAGCAUAGUUGGACUAAGUGCAUUGAUGUCAAUGGGGACUAUGUAGAAAAAUUGUGGAAAACUGCCUGGUUUCUGCAUCUUCUUCUGGGGCUUGAAAGGUUGCUUGCUUUAUCAUUUAGAAACAUGACACUUCCAAAAAUAUCUGGAGCUGGCUGAUGUACUGCAUAGAACCUCAACAGCUUUAAUAAAUUAUUGUACUUCUAACAAUGCAGUGAUAUAACUGUAUGAGCCACAUAAAGCCCAACAAACUUACGGAACCUGUAAUUGCAUUAUGCUGCAUGGCUCCACUCCACUGCCUGAGUCUCACUCUGCUACCAGCACCAUAGAUCGAAGUCUGUAUUAAUGAAGUCAAAGACUGGAUGAUGUCAAACAAACUGAAACUCAUUGAUGAUAAAAUGGAAGCCAUGUUCGAGAAAAAGA